ACAUGUGCCGCAGCAGAAUGCCGCUCGUGGCAUGGUAUCCCAAUCUCACCUCGUCGCAGAUCCUGUCCUCCUCCAUUUUUCCUGUUCUGGACCCAUCAAAUGUUAACUAUUAUACUAAGCAAUACGAGAUUGAAAUAUGUACAAUUAGAUCUAUCUAGGUUUCAGGUCAUCUCGGGGCAAUGGCGGCUUGGUGGCGGCGUCAAAAGCCUGGUCAGGCCACGUGGCGGGUGGUGGCUGAGGGUGGCCUCGGCAUCGGCGUAAUGGGUGGAGGUUGUGGGCAGAUGCACUGAUUCAGUUCGUGACAGGAAUUGAAGACCACAACUAACAUUAGUAGGCCAAUGGUUUCGAGUCCCUCAAAGAAAUUGUCCAGGUCGAGGAAAUCCCAGAACAAGGUUGUUCCUUGCGCUGCUGUUUUCCAUGGAACCCAGCCUCCGAAGAGCAGCAGAGAAAUAAACAUUGAAGUUCGAAACUACCUUCUGCUUUCAAGUUUCCCCUUGUGCAUUCACUCCCUAAAACAAACUGCACUUCUGUAUAUAGGUGGAUAUUUUUAGUCUCGUGUCCUGUCCAUGUAAUGAAAUUGCUUAUGAAUGCUUCCUACUAUUGGCGUCAUCAAACAGAUCAUGUCCGGAAUUGUUGUACUGAAAGAAUGAUCCAUGUCACCUACGUGACAUUUUGUAAUUCACAUUUUUUUU